AGGGAAUAUCGGUCCCCUGCAGGAUAAUAAGAUUUCAUUAUUCUAAAGAUAUCUAUUAAUAUAUAUGAAACCACUUUUUUUUUACUUUGGGGAAUACAUCACUUCAUAUUGUGCAUUAUAUGGAGUUAAGAACGGUUAUAGCCUAGAUGAUCCCCAAAGCCGCUUCUCCUGGUGCCAGAGGGGACACUAACCUGGUUAAUGUGAAAUGGGACAGCAUAGAAGACUGAAGAUGGGAAAGAAGUCAUAAGAAGCUUCCCUGAGGACCUUUGAGGGGAAGAGCGUCUCACAUUAAGAGAGGCCUAGACCUGACCGACAAAUUCUACCUUGAUUAUUCUACAAAUUCUAUCUGAAAGAAAGGAGAGAAAAGAAUGGGCAAAAAGUGAUCCACAGUUGAGAUCUGUGGCUAUGCCUCCUCUCAAUAUAUCUCUGUGAAGCUGGUUCAGCCUGAAUCACAAUUUAAGAAUUAUUUGUCUACAGAUGUCCCCACCUUAAAUAAAUGUCUAUUGUAACCAUU
rnacentral:lncRNA from 1 species